rnacentral:rRNA from 1 species
AACGAACGCCGGCGGCAGGCUUAACACAUGCAAGUCGAGCGCCCCGCAAGGGGAGCGGCAGACGGGUGAGUAACGCGUGGGAAUCUACCCAUCUCUACGGAAUAACGCAUGGAAACGUGUGCUAAUACCGUAUACGUCCUUCGGGAGAAAGAUUUAUCGGAGAUGGAUGAGCCCGCGUUGGAUUAGCUAGUUGGUGGGGUAAAGGCCUACCAAGACGACGAUCCAUAGCUGGUCUGAGAGGAUGAUCAGCCACACUGGGACUGAGACACGGCCCAGACUCCUACGGGAGGCAGCAGUGGGGAAUAUUGGACAAUGGGCGCAAGCCUGAUCCAGCCAUGCCGCGUGAGUGAUGAAGGCCCUAGGGUUGUAAAGCUCUUUCACCGGUGAAGAUAAUGACGGUAACCGGAGAAGAAGCCCCGGCUAACUUCGUGCCAGCCGCCGCCGCUGUAA